rnacentral:rRNA from 1 species
UACGGGGGGGGCAAGCGUUGUUCGGAAUUACUGGGCGUAAAGGGCUCGUAGGUGGCCAACUAAGUCAGACGUGAAAUCCCUCAGCUUAACUGGGGAACUGCGUCUGAUACUGGAUGGCUUGAGUUUGGGAGAGGGAUGCGGAAUUCUAGGUGUAGCGGUGAAAUGCGUAGAUAUCUGGAGGAACACCGGUGGCGAAGGCGGCAUCCUGGACCAACACUGACACUGAGGAGCGAAAGCCAGGGGAGCAAACGGG